CAUUAUUGAAAUAAACCUGAUGGGUUGCUGCUGGCUCUCUAGGGAGCAUGUGCACACUUGUCAUCUUUAUAUCUCCACCUGUGCACCUUUUGUAGAUCUGGAUAUCUUUCUGAAUGCCUGGCAUUCGGGUUUGAGGAUUGACUUUUGUCUUUCCUUACAUUUCCAGGCCUAUGUUUUCUUCAUAUACACCAAUUUAUGUUAUAGAAUGUAAUGAAAAGGGCCUUUGUGCCUACAAACCUUAUACAACUUUCAGCAACGGAUCUCUUGGCUCUCGCAUCGAUGAAGAACGCAGCGAAAUGCGAUAAGUAAUGUGAAUUGCAGAAUUCAGUGAAUCAUCGAAUCUUUGAACGCACCUUGCGCUCCUUGGUAUUCCGAGGAGCAUGCCUGUUUGAGUGUCAUUAAUAUAUCAACCUCCUCAGGUUUUUGACUUGUUGAGUGUUUGGAUGUGGGGGUCUUUUGCUGGUCUCUUUUGAGGUCGGCUCCCCUAAAAUGCAUUAGCGGAACAAUUUGUUGACCCGUUCAUUGGUGUGAUAACUAUCUACGCUUUUGACGUGAAACAGGUUCAGCUUCUAACAGUCCAUUGACUUGGACAAAUUUUCAUUAAUGUGACCUCAAAUCAGGUAGGACUACCCGCUGAACUUAA
rnacentral:rRNA from 1 species